GUCAGGGUGGCCGAGUGGUCGAAGGCACUGCCUUCAGGUUGCAGUCUUGAAUGAGGCGUGGGUUCGAAUCCCACUCCUGACA